UUCUAAAUUCAGUCAAAUUACUUCCCGUGGAGCAAAUCCAUUGGCUAUGAAUGAUGAUGAUCAAACGCCUCUGGAUGUUGCUAGGGUGAAAGGAAAUGUCAAUGUUGUGCGAGCUAUCGAGGAGCACAUAUGUUUAUUCUCCGGUUGGAUGCGAGAGUUUUCUGGGUCGGGAUUCAUCAAAAUGUUUGUUACUCAACUGGUUUCAAGAAAAGUGUGGGU